UACAGAGGUCCCGAGCGUUGUUCGGAUUCAUUGGGCGUAAAGGGUGCGUAGGUGGCGCCGUAAGUGGGGUGUGAAAUCCCGGGGCUUAACCCCGGGACUGCAUUCCAUACUGCGGUGCUUGAGGACUGGAGAGGAGACUGGAAUUUACGGUGUAGCAGUGAAAUGCGUAGAGAUCGUAAGGAAGACCAGUGGCGAAGGCGGGUCUCUGGACAGUUCCCUGACACUGAGGCACGAAGGCCAGGGGAGCAAACGGG
rnacentral:rRNA from 1 species